rnacentral:rRNA from 1 species
AUUGAACGCUGGCGGCAGGCUUAACACAUGCAAGUCGAGCGGGGUGAUGGUGCUUGCACUAUCACUUAGCGGCGGACGGGUGAGUAAUGCUUAGGAAUCUGCCUAUUAGUGGGGGACAACAUCUCGAAAGGGAUGCUAAUACCGCAUACGUCCUACGGGAGAAAGCAGGGGAUCACUUGUGACCUUGCGCUAAUAGAUGAGCCUAAGUCGGAUUAGCUAGUUGGUGGGGUAAAGGCCUACCAAGGCGACGAUCUGUAGCGGGUCUGAGAGGAUCAUCAGCCACACGGGAACGGAGACACCGCCCAGUCUCCUACGGGAGGCAGCAGUGGGGAAUAUUGGACAAUGGGGGGAACCCUGAUCCAGCCAUGCCGCGUGUGUGAAGAAGGCCUUAUGGUUGUAAAGCACUUUAAGCGAGGAGGAGGCUCUUUUGGUUAAUACCCAAGAUGAGUGGACGUUACUCACAGAAUAAGCACCGGCUAACUCUGUGCCAGCCGCCGCCGUAA